UGUCCCGUCAUUCUCAGAUAAAACGUUGAUCCUGUUUCAGACGGCUCCAUUUCUCUAGAGACGUUGCAGAGGCAGCAUGUUAUGAAAGGAAGAUUAUUGGACCAAAGCAGAGCAACACAUGGUUCCAGGUUGAGGUCAGGAUGGGGAACACCUCACCCAGGGUUUUGGUCUCACUCUUGCUGAACACACUGCUCUGCUGUGGACAAACUCUCGAUCCUGUGCUGACUGUUGAACCCAACUGGUUGAAUUUUUAUGAUGGAGAGUUUGUUACAUUUAUCUGUGACAUGAAUGAAGGAAGAGACACUGACUGGAUCUACAAGUUAAUGAGGAAUGGUCAAGAAAUUUAUCUCUAUCAGUCAGAUAAACGUUUCAGAGUUGGUCCUCUGUUUACUGGUUAUAGUGGUGAAUUUCAUUGCUGUGGUAACUGGA